rnacentral:lncRNA from 1 species
UUUUCUCUACUGAUUAAGAGGUUGUUAAAACCUAUUUUAUUUAGUACAGGUGCUGCUAUGAGCUGAGGAAUGGCCAACUGCUUCUCAUGACUGUGAAAGAGCUACAUUGUACCAAUUCUGUGGUAUGACUCCAAAGCAUGGUUGAAUUGAAUUACCUGAACUUGUGUAAAUCCUAUAGUCAUUAGGCAUGGAAGCUCUAAGAUGACAGAGGAAAGCAACAACUUUCAAGCUGAAAAAUGAAGUUAUCUCCUGUAAUGACUUGGGUUCAGGGAGUACUGAGCUUCCACUUCAAGCAGCCAGCUCUGGAAACAACUGGGAGACCAUUUCUUCAGAGAAAGAAGCACUCUUUUUAUAAACUAUUUCCCAUAUUUUUCAAAAACUCAUUUUCUCUUGUUAGUUUGCAUGUGGGAGGACAUCGCAAAUAUUGAUUCCAGCUGGGCUACUUCUACACCAGAUUCUGAGAUGCAUUGCAAAACUCAGUAGAUUGCAGAUCUGCCUAGUAAGUUCUUAUUUCAGUCAGCAAACAUUUAGUACACAGGCAGCAGAAUUUGAACUUCUCUAUAUUGAUUUUCUGUUUGUGAGCCACAUUCCUGAAAGUACAUAUUUUACCCAUGGAAAAUGUUAAUGUUCUUAUCAAUAAAGAGGGCUGUUGGUCAUUAUCUUCUUAUUUC